rnacentral:rRNA from 1 species
CUACGGGGUGCUCCAGUGAGGAAUUUUGCGCAAUGGGGGAAACCCUGACGCAGCAACGCCGCGUGAGCGAAGAAGGCCUUCGGGUCGUAAAGCUCUGUCAAGUGGGAAAAAAAUUCUUUGAUGAACAGUCAAAGGACUUGAUGGUACCACUGGAGGAAGCACCGGCUAACUCCGUGCCAGCAGCCGCGGUAAUACGGAGGGUGCAAGCGUUGUUCGGAAUUACUGGGCGUAAAGAGCGUGUAGGCGGUUUGACAAGUCAGAUGUGAAAGCCCCGGGCUCAACCCGGGAAGUGCAUUUGAAACUGUUCCACUAGAGUAUGGGAGAGGAGAUUGGAAUUCCUGGUGUAGAGGUGAAAUUCGUAGAUAUCAGGAGGAACACCCGUGGCGAAGGCGAUUCUCUGGACCAAUACUGACGCUGAGACGCGAAAGCGUGGGGAGCAAACAGGAUUAGAUACCCGAGUAGUC